AUGGGAUACUGGUUCUUCGGCGGCCACGGCGGCUUCUAUAUACCCUCCUAUGACGGGAGCCAGUCUCGACCCGCUGGCCCUCACCGGCCGCUGCUGUAUGGUACUGUGCCAUACGAGGAGCAGAUCCGCCGGAUGGAAGAAGGCGUCCGCCUCCGUCAACGGCCACCGCCCAACCCCACAGUCUGGAAAUACUUCAAGAUCCUCACUAGGUGUUUCAUGGCCGCGAUGAGUAUCACUAUGAUGGCUUGGAUAUUCGUGGCACGAUAUUUCAACUGGAAUCCUGAUGUGCAGGACCCCUACAAGAUGAUGGCACUGCUUCUUUGUUCUCUCAUACCGGUGGGAUUCGGUUUCAUGAUAACCGAAGAAGAUCAGGGGGAGGCACCGCACGGUUGA
rnacentral:rRNA from 1 species